AUUGAACGCUGGCGGCAUGCCUUACACAUGCAAGUCGAACGGCAGCACGGGAGCAAUCCUGGUGGCGAGUGGCGAACGGGUGAGUAAUAUAUCGGAACGUGCCCAGUCGUGGGGAUAACGUAGCGAAAGCUACGCUAAUACCGCAUACGAUCUAUGGAUGAAAGCGGGGGAUCGCAAGACCUCGCGCGAUUGGAGCGGCCGAUAUCAGAUUAGGUAGUUGGUGAGGUAAAGGCUCACCAAGCCGACGAUCUGUAGCUGGUCUGAGAGGACGACCAGCCACACUGGGACUGAGACACGGCCCAGACUCCUACGGGAGGCAGCAGUGGGGAAUUUUGGACAAUAGGGCGCAAGCCUGAUCCAG
rnacentral:rRNA from 1 species